GAAACUGAUUGCUUGUUUUCAUUUUUUAAAAACGCCGUUUACUUGAUAACAGUUUCAUCUCAAAUUAUUCUGCUAAAUGUACCAGACUCCCCAAAAAAUGUAAUGUAUAUCAUAUACAUCAAGUGCAAACGUGAGAAACAGCACAACAAUUGACAAGUAUCAAGUAAUACAGUAUAUUGUGAUGUAUUCGCAGAAAGGAAUGUUAGCAGCAAAAGUGAAUAAACUACAGCCCCACACAACAUGGGCAGAUCUUUGAAACACACUGAGUAAAAAUAUACAAAUAUCAAAAACGCACACAGCGUAACACCAUUUUGAUAAAGCUCUUAAAAAGCAAGGAAAACUUUAAAAGUUAC
rnacentral:lncRNA from 1 species